AUUGAACGCUGGCGGUAGGCCUAACACAUGCAAGUCGAACGCGAAAGUCCUUCGGGAUGAGUAGAGUGGCGGACGGGUGAGUAACGCGUAGGAAUCUAUCCUGUAGUGGGGGAGUAACGUUUCGAAAGGAACGCUAAUACCGCAUACGCCCCACGGGGAAAGCGGGGGAGUCUUCGGACCUCGUGCUAUAGGAGGAGCCUGCGUCGGAUUAGCUAGUUGGUGAGGUAAAGGCUCACCAAGGCGACGAUCCGUAGCUGGUCUGAGAGGAUGAUCAGCCACACCGGAACUGAGACACGGUCCGGACUCCUACGGGAGGCAGCAGUGGGGAAUAUUGCGCAAUGGGCGAAAGCCUGACGCAGCCAUACCGCGUGUGUGAAAGAAGGGCCCUUCGGGGUUUGUAAAGGACACUUUCAGUGGGGAGGAAAAGACGGGUGGCGUAAUAUCCA
rnacentral:rRNA from 1 species